CAGAAAGCUCUCAAAUCGCCAUCUCCAACACCAGUGCUAAGUUUCUCACUGUCUGGGACCCAUGUCUGCCUGGCCUUUCUAAUAGCACUUCAAAUUCAACAGCCUCCCCAGCUCUGGAGACAGGGCCAGGACCCCAGCCUUCCCUUGAUCCCAGUCUCUCUGUGCCCUACAAGCCCAGCUGCCAGUCUUGCCAUCUGUUGUGUGUGUCCCUGGCCUGGGCCCUGCCCUGCCGCCUCUCCCCAGUCACUGAGACAGCUUCCACACAGGCUCCCACAGCCAGCUGAGCCCUGCUGCAAGCUGUUCUCCUUGCAGUAGCUGCAGUUCUCUUUAAAAACAUUCUUUGUACUACAUCACUCCCCUCCUAAACAACUCCAUCAGGAGCAUGGGGCUGAGCAGGGUACAUGUGUGCAGGGGAUGGCAGACCAUGGUGACCCAGACAAGCCCACUCCGCUUGGGUGAGGAGGUGUCCCUGCAGGGGAGUGGCCUGGCACGGGCUGUCAGGGCCCACACGGGGUGAGGAGGUGUCCCCACAGUGAGGCCCAGAUCAGGCUGUGAGAGCCCAUGCAAGUGAGGAGGUGUACACCCAGGGACAGCCCGGUGCAGGGAUCACAGCCCUUGAGGCGAAAGGCAGCCUCCAGCACAUGGUCAGGGAGGAAGGGGACAGCCCAGCAUGGGGUGCUACAGCCCUGGAUGGGGCCAUGUGACAGGGCACAGCAACCACAGAUUGGUCACAUGCACAGAAAAUGGUUGAACAGGUAAACCUAGGGAGGACAAUGGGAUCCAGGUUUCUCACUGUUGGAGAGGUACAAAUAGGGGGAAAAAUAAGGGGAGAAAACUUGGAUCAGUCCUGUGGUGUUGUCAUGGUUUUCAAUUUACAGAUGACAGAUGCAGGCAUAAGCGUGAGUGGUGUGUGUGUGUGAUGUCUACGCGUGCAGGUAUAUGUGAGUAUGCAUCGUGUGCUUGUACUCCCAGCGUUGUCCCUUAGGGACCUGGGAGCAGCGACACCCAAAGCAGCGAGUACACUCAGCACCCAGAUCUCCUCCACAAGGAACCAGGGCUCCUGGGAGAAAUGGCCGAUUGCAGAGCUGAAGCAGGGACAAUACAAGAGGAAACUGGAACGACUUAUGUGCUGGAAAGUGAGGAGCUAGCCCAAGACAAGAGGACAUGCCCAAAGGCCCAGAAGCCACACUGAAGGGGCUCCUCCUGGCCACAGAUGGGUAAUUUGAGCAUCAAAAUCAAUGAUGACUGUAACAUAAUCACCAUUAAGAACAUGGGAAACCAUAAGAUGGCACUGGUGAUUACUUACAAAAACCACCUCUCUGCGAGCAACUCAGUAAUUAGACAUGAAAGAACCACGUCCAGGUGGAGACACCUGGCAUUCCCUGCCUGAAUCAGGUGGCCAAAGUUGCCACCACCCCAACAGAGCAAACUGGUAUCGCGCCCUCAUGACAGCCGCGCCAAGAUGAGCACAGCUUCACUGCUGCGCCACUGCUGCCAACGAUGCGAGAGCAGAAUCUAAAUAUGAAAAACAAACCCUACUGGAGGGACAUUCUGGGACACAGCUGACCUGUACGCUUUCAAAGGAUCAAGGCCAAAAAUUCAAAAAAAGACAGGAGCUGAAUAUCCCCCAGACUGAAGGAGAUUAAACAGCUGACAACUAAACACCACUCCUGAUCCUGGGUUGAAUCAUUUGUUAUAAAGGACAACACCGGGACAACUGGCAAAAUCUGAAUGGGGCCUGCAGACCGGACAGUCACAGGGGAGCUGUGGGCAUCUCCUGGUUUCACUCAGUGGUAAUGAAGGAGAAUGUGCCAAACACAUGCUCAGGCAUCUGCAGUGAGUGACAGGGCAUUAGGCCAGCCGCUAACUCGGAAACAGUGCUGGGAAAAAAAUCCCUUGUACCCUCCCUCUUUCCACAGCUUUGAUACUGCCUCGAAAUUAAAAAAAGAAAAAAAUCAGGCCGGGCAUGGUGGCUCACGCUUGUAAUCCCAGAACUUUGGGAGGCUGAGACGGGUGGAUUACUUGAGGUCAGGCGUUCGAGACCAGCCUGGCCAACAUGGUGAAAACUCGUCUCUAUUAAAAAUACAAAAAAUUAGCCAAGCGUGGUGGUACACACCUGUAGUCCCAGCUAGUCAGGAGGCUGAGGCAGGAGAAUCACUUGAGCCCAGGAGGCAGAGGUUGCAGUGAGCCGAGAUCACGCCACUGCACUCCAUCCUGGGUGACAGGGCGAGGCUCCGUCUCAAAAACAAAAAACAAAAAAAUCUUCAAUGACUUGGAUUACAUUUUGAAUAAAACUGAACCUUCUUUCCAAGUCCAUGGGGCUGUGGUCCUCCCUCUCACCCCUCCUCACCCAGCUGCAGGAAGACUCCAUGUUCCCUCAUGCUUGCAGCCCCCUCCCUAACUGUGCCCUCAAUCAACGGUACGUCCUCGCACCUACAUGUGCCAGGCACUGUUGCAGGUGUGGAGGAUGACAAAUGAACUAUGCAUGAACUAAACAGAAAAACACCUGCUCUGAUGGUAUGCACAUUCUAUUCAGGGGAAGAGACACAACCACCACUCAUACUACCCUACGCUAAGGGCACUAUGUGCAGAUUCUCACUAAAUGUUCCCAGCACCUGAUGAGGCACUAUUAUUCUUUCCACUUUACAGACAGAGCACCUGAGGCAGCGAGUCCAAGUCCCCGGCCCAGGAUCCCACAGCUGGUCUGGCAGCCUCCAAAACCCCUGUGCUAGCCCACCUGCCAUUUUGCCUCCCCCUAGGUCCCAGCAGGAACAGAUGCUGUCUCUGGAGCCAAUAAGGCAAAGAGAAGGACAGAUUUCUCAACAGAUUAGGACUUCCCACACAGCGACCCACAGAACUCACAUCACUGAAGGCCGUGAGCCAGUCUAACUGAGAAUGUGCACGCAGCCCCCAGGAGGGGUCCAGACACACAGCCCAGCAACAGGACUCAGCAACUGCUGCCUGUCAGCCCCAGGACCAUAAGCUAGUAUUUCCAUAUCGGUUCAAAUAUUCAGUAUCAAUUUAAAAUACCUAUUCAGCCUGUGACACGGAGCUUGCUGGAAAAGCAGAUCUCUGUAUUACACAAGUGCCCACAUCAGCAAGUGACCCCUCCACAGUGUAAACGUGCUGAGUUAUUAUGUGGGGUGCUUCAUGGAAGCCACUGGGAAAAUGGCAAGAUUUAAAGGCUGUGUUGAAGGGGCUGUUGUGUUGAAGGGGCCAUGGCUGGCCAUUGGUGGGGGUGGGUGACUUUUUUUUAAAAAGGGAAAGAUUUGGGUGUGGUAAGAGGUCAAAGGGCAGAACUCCAUAGAGAAGAGUGCCUGGCAGUGAGGCUGCAAGAAGGCAGCAGGGAGCAGGCGGGAUGGCAGCUGUGGUGACUAGGUUACAGGGGUGGCCACACCUGCAGGGAGGGGAGGAAAGGGCACCUGCCGACUCUUUCCCUGAGGAGGCAGAGAGGGGGGUGGAGAGCACAGAAGGCCUGGCAAAGCCAUGGCAGAUGGAGGAGCAAGACUGACAGGCACGCAGAUGCCCAGAGCCACGAUGGUGAGGGUGGCAAUCAAAACACCCAGAAACAGGGAACCAGAGACUGACAGGCAGGCAGAUGCCCAAAGCCACGAUGGUGAGGGUGACAAUAAAAACACCCAGAAAAAGGAAAACCAUAAGAACCAAAGGGUCCAAAUGUUUAAAUCUGCAUUUCAGGAUGAAGAAUGAAAUGUGUUUCUAAGUGUCAUUCAGAGCCAAAU
rnacentral:lncRNA from 10 species